rnacentral:rRNA from 1 species
UUUGGUGGCGAUGGCGGAGGGGUUCCACGCGUACCCAUCCCGAACACGAUCGUUAAGCCCUCCAGCGCCGAUGGUACUUGGACCGAAGGGUCCUGGGAGAGUAGGACGCCGCCAAGC